UGAUCCAGCCAUGCCGCGUUAGUYAUGUAGGCYUUAGGGUCGUAAAGCUCUUUCGCCARAGCUAUACUCACGUUUCUGUUAAGMCAUCCCGGCUAUUUCUUGGCCAGCAGCCGCGGUAAUACGGCGCGGUAGCGUGUUCGGA
rnacentral:rRNA from 1 species